GCCGGCUGUGACUCUGUCCCAGGCAGGUGCUGUGGGUUGUGUGGAAACUACAUUCAGACACUUCUGAUUUCAAAGCAAACUCUGGAUUCUGAGCAGAGCCUUGAGCUGGUAGUGAGGAGGCUGAGACAGGAGGAUCUUGUGUUCAAAGUGUUUCUGGACUACAAAUGGAAUUCAAGGCCAGAACUGAUGGUUUAGUGGGACUCCAUAGUAAAAGAUUGCAGCAGUGCUCGUGAGAGUGACGUUGAAGAAUAUAAGUCUGCAGGCUAGAAUUAUGAGCAACCCAGCUGGAAUUUACAUGGCCUCUAGGAAUCAGAACUAAGGGCUUGCUUCUGCAGAGAAAGCUCUUUAACCACCAACCAAUUCAUUGCUGCAUUCCUAGAAGUAGCUGAGUCCUUUAAACUCAGGUUCUGGAGACUAAGGACGAUGCAAGCACCUCACCAGCUGGUCUAGAUUUCCAGGGCCAUUCUGCACACUUUCAAAACUUCCUGCGGUGCUGCAUAGACUGUGCACAUGAGAACAUUCUUAGGGUUGAGAACAUCUCCUUGGAAUGCAAUCUGUUUUGAUAGCAUGUGGAGACUGAUUUGAUAACUCACAGCAGCACACAUGAAUGUUUCAUUCAUUUUUCAUGGGGACAGUAACUUUUUUGGCUUACACAAUGCCCGGCUGCAAAGAGCAGGCCACAUCCAUCAGAGUGACAUACUGCAGAGCAAUGUGUUGCUUGGCACUGGAAGCAUGAAGAUCCGCCCUGUCCUAGAUGCACAGAGCACAUCAAAUAUGGAAGCAAAUGUUACUUGUGAUAGCUGUGAGAAUGUCCUUAGGGGUCUUCUAAACCCAGAGGCACACCCUUGGCUUGGAGAGUUAGACAUCAACUCUCUUUUUAAAAUUAAUUAAUUAAUUAAUUUUUUACAUUUCAUAUUUUAUGCCCCAGCCCCCCCCCCUUGUCCAACCUCUAACUGUUCCACAUCCCAUACCUCCUCCCCACCCCACCCCCUGUCCAACUGACCUCAAAACUUCCUGGGGCCUUCAGUCUCUUGAGGGUUAGGUGCAUCAUCUCUGAAUGAACACAGACCUGGAAGUCCUCUAAUGUAUAUGUGUUGAGGGCCUCAUAUCAGCUGGUGUAUGCUGCCUGUUUGGUGAUCCAGUAUUUGAGAGAUCUCGGGGGUCCAGAUUAAUUGAGACUGCUGGUCCUCCUACAGGUCCUCAACUUCUUUCAGCCUUUCCUAAUUCAACAACAGGGAUCAGCUGCUUCUGUCUGUUGGUUGGGUGUGAAUAUCUGCAUCUGGCUCUUUCAGCUGCUUGUUGGGUCUUCUGGAGUGUGGUCAUGCAAGGUCCCUCUUUUUGUGAGCACUCCAUAGCCUCAGUAAUAGUAUCAGACCCUGGGACAUCCCCUUGAGCUGGAUCCUACUUUGGGCCUAUUGCUGGACCUUCUUUUCUUAAGGCUCCUCUUCAGUUCCAUCCCUGUAAUUCUUUCAGACAGAAACAAGUAUGGGUCAGAGUUGUGACUGGGGAAUGGCCUCCCUCUCCCUCAUUUGAUGCUCUGUCUACUUGCUGGAGGUAGGCUCUAUAAGUUAUCUCUCCCUACUGUCGGGCAUUUCAUCUUACGUCCCUACACAUCAACUCUUAAUGUGGAAAAAGUCCAUGCUUCACAGCUCCACCUGUAAGGUCCUGCAGAUUUAGGAUUAUUAUUGCAUUGUGCUAAAUUGGGUCCUCCCAGCUCAAUGCAAGCCAUACAGAGAAUGCACCAUGGCCUUUGGUAAGGAGUCUCUCUGGUGUGUAGAGAGCACACAUUUUCCUGUGUCCUGUUCCUUUCUCCAUUCAUUAUCUUGUUCAAUCAACUGACAAAUGUACAUUGAGAAAAGAGGAUUGAAGUGAACCCUAUUGGGCUUCAGGGAUAUAAAAAGGAAGGAGACAUAGCCCAUUCACAGAAGCUGCACAGCCCAGGAGAGGUGAAGCAUCUCUUUGCCGCAAUUCUGUGGGCUUCCUUCAGUGACAUAAGGCGAUGUCUGCAGACAGGGGUAGAUUUCUGCUGUUAUCUAGUGGGUUGAUGCUGGGCUGCUACAGUUUACAUACCAGCCCCUUAUAACUAGGACUCUAUGUAGCCAAGACUUGAAAUUCAAUAAUGAAUGCUACUAGGUAAUUGUGGCUUGGAAGGUCUUUCUCCCUAUGUCCUGAUCUCUUCUUCAUUUCCAACUUCUUGACAAAAAAAAAAAAAAGGGAAAGUUUCACUUUAAGCUCUUUGGGCUCCUCCUAUGUGAUGCUACCUGCUCCUCCUGUCUGAUGUGGUCAGUAUGGUCUCUUUCUGGUCCUUGCCCACCCCCACCACUCUGCUGUCCCCCUGUGAGUCAGACCUCCACAACAGACACAGUCUGUCUACCCUCUGCAGCUGUCCCCUGCCCCUGAUCUUUGACCUUCUGUUAUGUUAUUCCUGUUCUCUCUGGGUUGGAAAUUCCCUAUCCCUGUUGCUAAAUGGUUAUGAGUCCUAUGGUUAAUCUCAGAUGGCUUGUGUUACAUGGAAGAUGGUUCUUAGGUAAAAAUCAGAAGAUAAAUUUACUUUUAUCAGUUUAGUUUUUUUCUUUUCUGUGGAACCUCCAGCCCGAGAUCUGAGUGUGUUUGGUGGAUCCCACCCAGACCAUGAUUUCCUCACUCCCAGGCAGCCCAUAAUAUAUAGGUCCUUAUAUACCUUUGGACUUUCCCUCCAUAAUGACAGGGUCCUUAUGCAACAUACCUUACCCAUAGUUAAGUAACUGAAAAACUCUUAAUUCACGACUCUCUCUAAAAUUUAGCUGACCAUUCCAAAUUCAUAUAAUAAUUCAAAUAGAUUUCAUGAUGUUUUGUUUGUAUUUAUAUGUUCCUAUACAUCUUUGUUUUCAUGUUCAUGUGCAUGCACACAUGGAUGGAGGCCAGAGGACAACCUUGAGUGACCCUCCCCAAGCACUAUUUACCUUCUGUUUUGAGACAAGGCCCCUCACUGACCCAAGAAUUAUCAAACAGGCUAUACUGGCUGGCCAAAGAGAUCCAGGACUCUCUCUAACUCUACACUUCCCUAGUGCAGGGGUUAUAGGCACAUUCCACCACUCCUAGCUUUCUUUCGGGAUUCUAAGAUCAAACUCAGGUACCUGAGCUACUGAGAUGUGUCUCCAGUGCAUAAUGCAACUUAAAACAUUAAUGAUAGUUGUUUGCAUAUGUGUGCAGAGGUCUGGCAGAAAGAUUAUCAGGGUCUUCUCUGGUAUGUCAAAUACACAGUGAAGAACUGCCCUUGGCCUUCAUAGGUACUUCCAAGGUGCUUUCUAAGGACACUGAGGCUUCCUUAGAAAAUUGUUUUAAUACCUUCCUGGCCAUUUGUAAAAAGAGGAUCUGGAAUUCAAGUUUUGAGUUAUUAGUAUUCACUGACACACCUUGAGGCCUUGAUAGGAAAAACAAAAAACAAAAAACAAAAAACACACAUUGUCCUGAUGGCAUCACAGAAUAAGGAGAAUGCUGACGUGUGAAAUGUAAGUUCUGAAAGCUUAUAAUGAUCACUGAGGUGAUAUUCUGGGCCUUUUACAAAGCUGCAGGUCCUUUCACACCCAGUUAACUGAAACAUCACAUGUUUUUCUCUGGAUGUGAAAAUGGAGAAAAGGCCUACUGACCUGUCACCAAAGAUCACGAGAUUUCUCUCCAUCAUCCACUCUUGUAUAGCAAUCCUUUUUGUGUAGCUGUAGUUAUGACUUUAUUAUCUGUCAUAAUAUAUGCUAGUCUCUAUAAAAUAAACACAGGUGCAUGCAAGUUUAUUCUGUCGUUGUUUAUAUAAAUAUCACAGAGACACUGAAAGUUUUAGCCAUGUUGCUAUUUGUAUAGAGACGCAUUGGCUGGAAGCUGGAGAGACUGCUCAGUAGUUAAGGACACUGGUUUGCUUUGGCUCAAUUCCCAGCACCCAUAUGGUGGCUCACAACCUUUUGUAACUCUAGAU